rnacentral:sRNA from 1 species
AGUGGCUCGAGAGGCCUGGACCUGUGGCGCAACCUCAGUGAGGAGGGCCGCCCUGCACCCGUUGCCGGCCCCGGUCUCCAGGGGCCUCACCCGAGUGAUGCCCCGCUAUUGCGCAGCGAUUUGUUGUAAGAACCGCCGGGGACGAAACAAUAAAGACCGGAAGCUGAGUUUUUAUCCGAAAGAAUUAUUCCAUAUUUAUUACGACUGAGACAAAUUAAGGAUGAAACUCUUCAGGCUGUAGUUAGAGAAAUUUUGGCCCUAAUUGGCUAUGUGGAUCCAGUGAAAGGGAGAGGAAUCCGAAUUCUCUCAAUUGAUGGUGGAGGAACAAGGGGCGUGGUUGCUCUCCAGACCCUACGAAAAUUAGUUGAACUUACUCAGAAGCCAGUUCAUCAGCUCUUUGAUUACAUUUGUGGUGUAAGCACAGGU